rnacentral:misc_RNA from 1 species
UGACAACUAACAAGUUAGCUUAGCUUAAUGAAAAAAAAUCCAUAUUCAAUGGUAACCUUUAUAUUCUUAACUCUUGCUGACAAUGUGACUUUUGCCUCAAAGGAAAAGAAGAAGGUGCAGAGCCAGGUAGUAGUUGAUCAAGAUAAUACAUUUGGGUCUAGGCCAGGCACUGGUUGUCAACGUCUUUCAAGUAGGAGCUUGAUUGGAGGCUUUAGCAAUCCAACCCCUUUAAACAGAAGGCUUUCUGUCAGUAUCCAACAGCUACGAACAAACAGCAUCAAUUCUGCAACUCAA